rnacentral:rRNA from 1 species
GACGAACGCUGGCGGCGUGCCUAACACAUGCAAGUCGAACGGGAACUUCGGGCCUUUUGGCGCACGGCGACGUAACACGUGGGAACCAGCCCUUGGGUACGGAAUACCUCCCCGAAAGGUGUGCUAAUACCAGUUAAUGUCUUCCCGCCAAAGAUUUCUCGCCUUUGGAUGGGCGUGCGUUGGAUUAGCUAGUUGGUAGUGGAAACGCCUACCAAGGCGACGAUCCAUAGCUGGUGUGAGAGGAUGAUCAGCCACACUGGGACUGAGACACGGCCCAGACUCCUACGGGAGGCAGCAGUGGGGUAUAUUGGACAAUGGGCGCAAGCCUGAUCCAGCAAUGCCGCGUGAGUGAUGCAGGCCUUAGGGUUGUAAAGCUCUUUUACCCGGGAUGAUAAUGACAGUAACGGGAGAAUAAGCUCCGGCUUACUCCGUGC